UCUAUGCAUCGCGACUGGCGCAGAACGCGCGUUCACCGGGAGCGCGUGAAGGUGGAAGCAACCACCGGGAAGCGAGAGAAGAGCGGGCACCGUGCGCCUGGGUGUCCUUC
rnacentral:ncRNA from 2 species